UACGAGGGGGGCAAGCGUUGUUCGGAAUUAUUGGGCGUAAAGGGCGCGUAGGCGGUGCGGUAAGUCACCUGUGAAAACUCUGGGCUCAACUCAGAGCCUGCAGGCGAAACUGCCGUGCUUGAGUGUGGGAGAGGUGCGUGGAAUUCCCGGUGUAGCGGUGAAAUGCGUAGAUAUCAGGAGGAACACCGGUGGCGAAGGCGGUUCUCUGGGCCUGUACUGACGCUGGAGGAACGAAAGCGUGGGGAGCGAACAGG
rnacentral:rRNA from 1 species